rnacentral:rRNA from 1 species
AACGUAGGUUCCGAGCGUUAUCCGGAUUUACUGGGCGUAAAGCGCGUUCAGGCGGUUUGGCAAGUCGGGCAUGAAAUCUCUCGGCUCAACCGGGAGAGGUUGUCCGAUACUGCUGGACUUGAGGGCAGUAGAGGGUGGUGGAAUUCCUGGUGUAGCGGUGAAAUGCGCAGAUAUCAGGAGGAACACCGGUGGCGAAGGCGGGUCUCUGGGCCGAUACUGACGCUGAGGAGCGAAAGCGUGGGGAGCGAACAGG